UACGUAGGGGGCGAGCGUUGUCCGGAGUUACUGGGCGUAAAGCGCUUGUAGGCGGUCCACCAAGUUUGGGGUGACAGUUGCCGACUUAAUCGGCAAAGUGCCUCAAAGACUGGCGGACUUGAGGGCCACAGAGGGACAUGGAACUCCAGGUGUAGUGGUGAAAUGCGUAGAUAUCGGGAGGAACACCAGUGGCGAAGGCGGCCUUCUGGACCAGUACUGACGCUCAUGCACGAAAGCGUGGGGAGCAAACAGG
rnacentral:rRNA from 1 species